UAGCCCUGAUAUGAUUUGGCUCUGUGUCC
rnacentral:piRNA from 1 species